UCGUGAAACGGAAACGAUUCUCGUCUUGAAUGCAGCUCAUUAUUUUCUGCACUCUUGUUUUUAUAAAUUAUUGCAAUAGAGGAUAGUAGAAGACUGAAGAUAGCCACAAGAAGAAGAUAAGCAUGGUGUUUAUGUCAGUAGUGCGGCUGGGGGGAAGGCACCCCAAGUUCGCGCGAAACACCAUAAUGGUGGGCCCAGAAGGAACAGAACACGCCCUGAGUGUCAUUACAUCCUGGAUGGCUGCUGAUGGUAUUUUUCGCAAAAUGAAACUCACUCAGCGCUGGGAGAGAGGAGAAUGGAAGAGAACAAGAAAGGAACAUGAAGUAUGUAAGAGGAUCAUAGACGUGGGUAUGAGAAAGAAGAUUGCUCUGAUGAAGCGGAGGAGCGACCCACUGUCCGACAUGCCAUUUUAAUCUGCAUCGUGUCCAACACGUACACAGAACGAUCACGGUUACACAAGGCAACAACAAGCCCGAGCUUCUUGUACAUAGCUGUCAUAUUAUGCUUUUGUUGUGAUGAAAAUGCUGAUUUUAAAACUAUGCGCACCUUUUAUGCUCAAAAUCAACUACAUUUUAUGCGUUCUUUGAUGCUAUGAGUGUACAUUGUACAUGUAUAUAUAUAAAAUUAUUAGUAAAUUAUUAGUAUGUACAUGCAGUCUGUAUAAAACUAGGAUGAUCUAGAUGAGUGUACAUAUAAUCUUUUCAAUCGAAAAGAAACCUACUACUUUUUGGAAAUGCCAAUUUUGUCAAACAGACAGAACUCA